rnacentral:rRNA from 1 species
CUUGCUAAGUUUGAUGGCGACCGGCGCACGGGUGAGUAACACGUAUCCAACCUGCCGAUAACUCCGGAAUAGCCUUUCGAAAGAAAGAUUAAUACCAGAUGGCAUACGAAUAUCGCAUGAUAUUUUUAUUAAAGAAUUUCGGUUAUCGAUGGGGAUACGUUCCACUAGUUUGUUGGCGGGGUAACGGCCCACCAAGACUACGAUGGAUAGGGGUUCUGAGAGGAAGGUCCCCCACAUUGGAACUGAGACACGGUCCAAACUCCUACGGGAGGCAGCAUG